rnacentral:rRNA from 1 species
GUGGGAAGGCCCAGACAGCCAGGAUGUUGGCUUAGAAGCAGCCAUCAUUUAAAGAAAGCGUAAUAGCUCACUGGUCGAGUCGGCCUGCGCGGAAGAUGUAACGGGGCUAAACCAUGCACCGAAGCUGCGGCAGCGACGCUGAUGCGUUGUUGGGUAGGGGAGCGUUCUGUAAGCCUGCGAAGGUGGCCUGUGAGGGUUGCUGGAGGUAUCAGAAGUGCGAAUGCUGACAUAAGUAACGAUAAAGCGGGUGAAAAGCCCGCUCGCCGGAAGACCAAGGGUUCCUGUCCAACGUUAAUCGGGGCAGGGUGAGUCGACCCCUAAGGCGAGGCCGAAAGGCGUAGUCGAUGGGAAACGGGUUAAUAUUCCCGUACUUGGUGUUACUGCGAAGGGGGGACGGAGAAGGCUAUGUUGGCCGGGCGACGGUUGUCCCGGUUUAAGCGUGUAGGUGUGUGUUCCAGGUAAAUCCGGUUCACUUUAACACUGAGGCGUGAUGACGAGGCACUACGGUGCUGAAGCAACAAAUGCCCUGCUUCCAGGAAAAGCCUCUAAGCAUCAGGUAACAUCAAAUCGUACCCCAAACCGACACAGGUGGUCAGGUAGAGAAUACCAAGGCGCUUGAGAGAACUCGGGUGAAGGAACUAGGCAAAAUGGUGCCGUAACUUCGGGAGAAGGCACGCUGACA